rnacentral:ribozyme from 1 species
AUAUAUAUAUAGGACAACCAACAAAUGUAAAAAAGGCAAGAAAAAAGAGAAAAAGAAGACAGGGUAGCUGGCUACAUGUAUUAUGUUCUUGCUACUAUGUAUU